rfam:Canis lupus familiaris chromosome 8, whole genome shotgun sequence.
AGCUUUGCACAGUGGCAGUAUCAUAGCCAAUGAGGUUUAUCCAAGGUGCGAUUAUUGCUAAUUGAAAAGAAGGAAAUUAUAGUGGACCUCUUGGUAAUAGAAGUAACAGAUUUCUGAAUAUGGCAAAAAGUUUUAAAAAUCCUACUACGGACAUUUUUGUAAAAGAAUCUUAUCC